UGGCUCAGGAUGAACGCUGGCGGCGUGCCUAAUACAUGCAAGUCGAGCGAACGGACGAGAAGCUUGCUUCUCUGAUGUUAGCGGCGGACGGGUGAGUAACACGUGGAUAACCUACCUAUAAGACUGGGAUAACUUCGGGAAACCGGAGCUAAUACCGGAUAAUAUUUUGAACCGCAUGGUUCAAAAGUGAAAGACGGUCUUGCUGUCACUUAUAGAUGGAUCCGCGCUGCAUUAGCUAGUUGGUAAGGUAACGGCUUACCAAGGCAACGAUGCAUAGCCGACCUGAGAGGGUGAUCGGCCACACUGGAACUGAGACACGGUCCAGACUCCUACGGGAGGCAGCAGUAGGGAAUCUUCCGCAAUGGGCGAAAGCCUGACGGAGCAACGCCGCGUGAGUGAUGAAGGUCUUCGGAUCGUAAAACUCUGUUAUUAGGGAAGAACAUAUGUGUAAGUAACUGUGCACAUCUUGACGGUACCUAAUCAGAAAGCCACGGCUAACUACGUGCCAGCAGCCGCGGUAAUACGUAGGUGGCAAGCGUUAUCCGGAAUUAUUGGGCGUAAAGCGCGCGUAGGCGGUUUUUUAAGUCUGAUGUGAAAGCCCACGGCUCAACCGUGGAGGGUCAUUGGAAACUGGAAAACUUGAGUGCAGAAGAGGAAAGUGGAAUUCCAUGUGUAGCGGUGAAAUGCGCAGAGAUAUGGAGGAACACCAGUGGCGAAGGCGACUUUCUGGUCUGUAACUGACGCUGAUGUGCGAAAGCGUGGGGAUCAAACAGGAUUAGAUACCCUGGUAGUCCACGCCGUAAACGAUGAGUGCUAAGUGUUAGGGGGUUUCCGCCCCUUAGUGCUGCAGCUAACGCAUUAAGCACUCCGCCUGGGGAGUACGACCGCAAGGUUGAAACUCAAAGGAAUUGACGGGGACCCGCACAAGCGGUGGAGCAUGUGGUUUAAUUCGAAGCAACGCGAAGAACCUUACCAAAUCUUGACAUCCUUUGACAACUCUAGAGAUAGAGCUUUCCCCUUCGGGGGACAAAGUGACAGGUGGUGCAUGGUUGUCGUCAGCUCGUGUCGUGAGAUGUUGGGUUAAGUCCCGCAACGAGCG
rnacentral:rRNA from 1 species